CCUACGGGAGGCAGCAGUGGGGAAUAUUGGACAAUGGGCGCAAGCCUGAUCCAGCAAUGCCGCGUGUGUGAAGAAGGCCUUCGGGUUGUAAAGCACUUUUGUCCGGAACGAAAAGCGGAGGAUUAAUACUCUUCCGUGCUGACGGUACCGGGUGAAUAAGCACCGGCUAACUUCGUGCCAGCAGCCGCGGUAA
rnacentral:rRNA from 1 species